CUUCGUAAAUGCGCAUUUCAUUUGCUUUCCGAAUCGCGUCUUGAAAGGACGGUUUUGUCAGUUUUUGUGUCCGUGUAGUUCAAGCCAUUCCAUAAUGGCCGCCAAAUCGAAACGUGCAUUGCCCGGCAAAUAUUCUGGCACCCAAUCCGCUAUCACUUAGCGGUUUUGGAGCCGAGAAUAUUUCGCAGAGGCAAUAUCACGUUUCGAAAACAUUUGUUGUACUUUUUCAAACAUAUUUUUAAGAUAAAUGCAGUACGCGCUAUUUUAUGUCAUCGGACUUCGCAAAAAAAGAGAAUACUUGUUACAAAACAAAUGGUAUCUUUAUUUCGUAAUAAAUUGUAAAAUAACAUUCAAGGAUUACAUUGCUGAACAACAAAAAGUAUACCUGCUACUGGAACAAUAGGAAGCAAAAAUAAACCUAAGCUGUGCUGUUAA